ACCACAUUCUGCUCGCCACUA
rnacentral:misc_RNA from 1 species